UACGGAGGGGGCUAGCGUUGUUCGGAAUUACUGGGCGUAAAGCGCGCGUAGGCGGACCUGCAAGUCGGGGGUGAAAGCCCGAGGCUCAACCUCGGAACUGCCUUCGAUACUGCGGGUCUCGAGUCCGGGAGAGGUGAGUGGAAUUCCUAGUGUAGAGGUGAAAUUCGUAGAUAUUAGGAAGAACACCAGUGGCGAAGGCGGCUCUCUGGCCCGGUACUGACGCUGAGGCGCGAAAGCGUGGGGAGCAAACAGG
rnacentral:rRNA from 1 species